UGCCAUUUGAGUGUGUAAAUUUUACCAUUACUAUGUUGUUGGUGAUGAGAAGAUUUCUUGGGCAGUAUCUGGAAGAGAAGUAUCCCCAACGAGCAUUGUUGCCUCAGGAUCAUCAGAAAAAAGCAAUCAACUAUCAGGUACAGAGGAAACAAACUAAAGAAAACAAACUAUAGGUUUUCAGGUACUUCUAUGAUAAUUGUCGAUUACCAGGGAGAGCGAGUAUGCUGCCUGGACCCUUGUCAAUGGAUAUGCGUUGAAUCAUGUUACCAUAUCUACCCAUUGCUUGAGAUCAAAUCUGAGAAGCAUCGGAAAACUAAAUCAAUUUAUUGAGGAAAAUGGUUUCAAUUUGAACUAUGAAGGGGGUAUUCUAAAAGGUUAGUACAAAGUAACUUUUAUGUAAUAGUAAUAUUGCAUACUUAACUAUAACUGCAUCAUAAUUCAUAUCAUAAGGAUAUACUCAAAUACACUGUUUAUUGGCUCGCUCUUUUACUUGAUGUGUUCUCAGUACGUUCAGUAUUUAACAUUCCAGCAACCGUUUGAAACCAAGAUCUCUAAACUUGAUAACACGUUAUGCUUAGAUCGCCAAAUUUUGUGAAACCUAGAUUAAUCUAUUAGUCAAUAGGGGACUUAAAAGGACAGAUCUCUGUGUAUUUGUUUGGUACUUCAAUAAACGAAAUCCAGGUCGAAGAGCUUUUCAGUGCUGGUUUCUAUUACUUCUUUUCGCGUCAGAAGGUUAUUGCUCAUCAUAUUUUCGAAUAUACAGAACAUGUACUGAUCUCCAACUAUUCAUCUUCAUCCGCAGAAUCUGUUGGUUAUGAAAUCUUGUUCUUUUAAGAGAUAACUGUUCUUUUUUAAAUGGUCACCGGAUAUUGCAAAGAAGUUUUGAUGUAUUCUUUGCCUCACCAGUGAGCCCUGAUGGUCUUCUUCUGCAAAGUUCAACCGUCAGGUUUUAUGCAUAUUUCUCUGUAGUGUAAAAGCAACUAUAUACGGGAAGUAAAACAUGUGUCACCUGUGCAGUCAUUCUGCACCACACAUUGAAUCUUCCUUAUUUCCUCCAAAGUUGGAAAAUGGUUAAUCAUGCCUGUUCAAAAACUUAUAUGGCAAUGUAACAGAAUAAAAUACCAUUUAAUUCUUGAAAGGGAAAACAUUGUCUGUUAAGUUGAAAAAACUAAAAACAUCAUCUUUUAUGAAUUUGAAUGCAUGCUUAUUGUAAUAUCCUUGAUUCAGAGUGGUCUCGAGGUUUAAGUUCCAUGAGUGGGACUCAACUAAAUUCGCAAUGCUGCCUCUUGCUUUAGUUGAAUUCGCGUCCUGGAAGCUUUGCUGAAAUACUUGCUAAACUUCUUUUUUCCCCGUGAUUGCAUAUUGUCCUUUUCUGAAACAUGACAUGUUGAAACAUUUCCGAAGGAUUAUGUCGGGCAAGAAUUGCAGAAACACAAACAUCUAGAAUGAGAUAAUAUAUAUACAUUAAUAAGUGAAGCAAUUUUGGAUUCAAUACAUAUUUUAAGAAGCUAAGAAGAGAAACUAAGAAGGGAAGAUAUUUUCAGAGGAAGCUGAGAAGUGAAAUAUUUUCUGAGAAGGUAUGGAAAUGUAGUUGCAGAAAUUGGGAAAGUGAGAAG
rnacentral:lncRNA from 1 species